GACGAACGCUGGCGGCGUGCUUAACACAUGCAAGUCGAACGGAAAGGCCCUGCUUUUGUGGGUUGCUCGAGUGGCGAACGGGUGAGUAACACGUGAGUAACCUGCCCUUGACUUUGGGAUAACUUCAGGAAACUGGGGCUAAUACCGGAUAGGAGCUCCUGCUGCUUGGUGUGGGUUGGAAAGUUUCGGCGGUUGGGGAUGGACUCGCGGCUUAUCAGCUUGUUGGUGGGGUAGUGGCUUACCAAGGCUUUGACGGGUAGCCGGCCUGAGAGGGUGACCGGCAACAGUGGGACUGAGAUACGGACAAGACUCAUACUGGUAGCAGAAGUGGGGGAUAUUGCACAUUGGGAGGAAGCCUGACGCAGCAACGGCGCGGGCGGGAUAACGGCGUUCGGGUUGUAAACCGCUUUCGCCUGUGACUAAGCGUGAGUGACGGUAAUGGGUAAAGAAGCACCGGCUUACUACGUG
rnacentral:rRNA from 1 species